UAUAAAGAUUUAAGGUAACAAAAUAAUUUCUGUUGAAGAAAUAUUUUGAAAAAAUUUCGGACGUUAAAAACGCUUCUCUCUUCUUUUCUCUCCCUCUCGACAUCUCCCGUUACAACUCAUCUCAAAACCCUAGAUCUGAGACCGGCAGCUAGGGAGGCUACCGCAGCUCCACCGCUGGUCUCCUCCUUUUUCUCUUAUGUGUCGUCGUUUCCUCCCUCUGUUUCUUCUUCGAUGUGUGACGAGUGCAGUUCUUCUUACUCGGGCUCAGAUCUGUCCGCAAUGGUUGGUUGGUUUCUCGCAGUGUCCUCACGGCGGUUGUCCUCCCAUUCUCUGGCGUCUGUUUCUGCAAAAUUUUCCAGGUUAGCAAAGUCAGAACAUUAAGGAAUUUGUAGGAGCAAAGUGGGUUUUGAGGAUGGGCCAAAUCUCUGUAGCUCGUGGCAACUUUGAUUGACUCGACAAUGCGACUCUUGUGUGAUGGUUCAUCGCAAUCUGAACCCGAAGAUAGACUUGCUCUGAUCGAAUGGGUUCUAGUGGUGUAGUUUCUGAUUGUUGCUAUCGUGUUUUCUUUUUUCUUUUCGGUGUUGUGGUAGUCCCAUUUCAUUUUCUGCUAUUUGUUUCUGUAUAAUUUCUGCGUCAAACAAAAACGGUAUAAAAUUUAACAUUUUACAAAAAAAAAAAAUUAUGUUCGCCAU